rnacentral:lncRNA from 1 species
UGUUUUUCUUUGUGGUAAGCCGUAGGUAGGCGCUUGGGAUGCCAGGAAGCUAUAGAGGUAGUCGAAGGGGUGGGUUGUGCCGUCGUCGUGCUUAGUCACGGCCGGCCGUUAGCUCCGCCGCCCGCCGCCGUGGAGAGGAUGGCUCCGGCCACCUCCCGGGGAGCUACCGCCGCGCAUGGGCGCGCUAGGGCAUGGGGAUGCUUCCCCAGCCUAGCCCCGUCGCCGGUGGGGCGCCGGCCGGCGAGCCGCGCCGCCCCCUACCGCGCUCGGGUUUUGGCGCGAGAAAGAAGAAGGCUCUGGUGUUUGCGGGCCCACGCAUCAGAGGAGAAAGGGGAGGAAGGAAGCCGGCCGGGCGGAGAAGUCAGGUGGGCCGGGGUCCGGUUGGCCCAGGCUCCGGUGCGGGGAAAGGGUCGGUAAGGGAAAAAGGCCGGGGGCCUGUAGGGUCCAGCAGGCCGAUGGGCUAGUAGGGCAGGCCGAAAGUCGCGCGAAAGAAAGAAAGGAGGGAGUUGAGUCGCUGGGCUGAAUCAAGAAAAGGAAAGAGGAGAGGAGAAGGAAAUCGGCCCAGUGAGCCCAGCAGUGGAGAAAUGGCCGGCGGGUAGGAUGAAUAGGAGAAGGGUGUGGGUCCGAGCUGCAGGCCCAGCGUUAGAGAGAGGGGGUAGGAAGGGGGUGCAUGAGAAAAGUAGGUCGGGGAUUUUUCGGAAAAAUUGAUUUUCUUUUGUAGAAUAAUAGAUUAAAUCCAGUUAUCACCAUUUAAAUCACAGAAAUUUCUAGGGAUGUCCAAAAUUAGUAAAACCAAUUUUGUUAGGAUUGCUUUAUUUUCCUUUAUGCAUUAAAAUUUUUAUACCCUAGGAAAAAUAAUAAAAAUUUAGGUAUUUGUUUAAUGUCUUUUCUUUAAGGUAUUUAAAUAAAUACUUAAUCUUUAUUAAAUGCAUAAAAUAUAGAAUAACAUUUUCAUAAUCACAAAUUAUUGUUAACUCAUAGGAAAUUAGGUUUCAAGACUAGAAAAUAAUUAUAACGUUUUUCUAAAAAUAAAAGAAAGAGCCUUAGGUAAGG